UGAAACUGCUAUUUGUCUUCUCAGACGUGGAGACUUAAGGCAUCUUGUUUGCUUUGUUUUCUCUCUUGAUGGCCAGUUACUCAGACCUCAUCAAACCCUGGUUCAUGUUGGUUUGGAGACCAUCUCUCUCUUUGAGACAGUCUCUGGAGCCUCUCAAAGGAAAUCUCUCAGGUGUGGUAGGCUUACAUCCUUCUGGAGUCACUGAGGGUGGCAGUGUGGGGAAAAGCAGCAGCUGGUCUUAACCUUCACAGUUUCCUCCCAAGAGAGAAGUAGGACCUGUUUUAUGAGAGAAAGAGAGACACUUCCUGGAGGCUACCAGCAUUCAGAUCACCUGGGAAGCACAUUCCCCUCAGAAGGCUUCUCUGAUACAUAGAUGAAACACUCCUGAAGUUUAUCCAACUCGUUUGUUCUAAAUGUGAGUGCAACAAGUAACGUUCUGAUUAUGGAUGUGGUCUCUCAGCUACCUUAAUAAUGGGCGGGAUUGAGGCAACAAGUUUGUAGGUCACUGGAG
rnacentral:lncRNA from 1 species